GAGCUGCCUCUGUCUUCUUCCUCCUCCCACGCUGAGCUCAGCAAAGUUUCCUGAGACUUCUUGAGGUCCCUACAAGCUCUCUGGUGCCUGAUGCUGCUCUUCCAUUUUGUUUUCACAUCAUUCUGGUCUAGAUGGUGGACUUGACCUUCCCAGGUGACAGGAUGAGCAUUAUUUUUAAAAGAUGUUAAGUACAGAAUGAGAGAAGUUAAGUAACUUGCCUAUAAUCAAAUAGCACCAUGUACAUUGUUAGGGCAAAGAAAGUGGAUGGAGUAGGAAUUUGCCUGGUGUGGUGUCACCGAAGCCAAGGAGUUGGAGGGAUGAUCUACAAUCUCAAAAAUUACUCCUUGAAGACCAGCCAAUCAGCAUCCAGAAUCCUGAAUGACACUUUGUUAGAACCCACCCUCUGGAGCACUGGGCACCAGGUGCUAUUCUUUUGAGAUUUCAAACGGAAUUUGUAAUAAGCUUCGCCUGGACACGACUUGUCACACGGAAGAGAUGUGAUUUGUAUAGAGAUAUGAGACGCUUCGUGAGUGCUUCAGAGAGCCAGCUUUUACUCGAUGAGACAUACAUGUUGCACUGGCUUUAUGAAGAGUAAGAUGUGCUGGCUUUUUCUUCACAGGCUGUUAACCAAGAUAACAUUUCUUUGAGGGGAAGGUGGUUUUAGUUUCGGGAAAAGCCAGAAGUCACAGGGCACCAAAUCUGGUCUGCAGUGGGGCUGAGUCACCUGGGUGAUUUGAUGUUUCACCGGAAAACUCUGCAGGAGAUGUGAUGCAUGAGCAGGCACCUUGUUGUGAUGAAGCUGCCAAUCACCAGUUCCCCAGAGCUGCGGCCUUCUGAAUCAUCUGAAUAGUUUCCACAGAGGAAUGUUCAAGCUUAACCCAAAAUUGAUGCAGAUUUGUUGCUGUACUCACUCAUUUUGAAUGUGACGGCCACACAGCACACAUGCUCACUCAAUGGCAUCUACUGAUGCCACUGACUAGUACAGUGAAGUCAGCAUUGUUCAUGCAUGUGCAUUCCAGUCCACUCUCCUUGGCUUCCGGGUUACACUGAUGUCACACAAACUGUUCUUGUUAUAUUAAUAAUGGCUGGACUUUUUCCAGACAGACUAUAUAUCUCCUAACAGGAAACAAAUGCGACACUCAAAUUAGGGUAAUUCAAGGAGAACUAAGAAGGUCUAUUUACUAAGAGGUAAGCUCAUGGAAACCAGAAGGGGUAGUCUGGGAAACUGGGUUUGCAACAGUUGAGCUGUUACCACCCCUGAGGCUGACAGGGUGUGAGCAAGGAGAGCUCACCCAACCAGAGCCGUUAUCAAACCUAUAAGAAGACUUUCCUAGAGCAUGUCUUUGGAGGGAGGGGCCGUGACCUUCAGUGAGGGCAUCAGGACACCUCACGGAGAAGCAGCUGGAGAGACCCCACCCUGACCUUGCUCCUCACUGCCCGUGAGGGCUUCCCGUGGGACAGAGGGCACAGCAGCCCAAAUGAUGUGCUCCGUAUGGAAAAGAGCAGAGGAGGCAAGCGCGUCUCCACCAAACGGAAGACUCAUUUCCUGAGUGGCAUGCUCACCUCACUUCCUGAGUGACAAUACAGUCCAUCAGAUAGAAUUUUGCUUUCUUCAUAACACUCACCCGAGAGCCUUUGCAUUGCAAGAAUGGUAGUUUGGAGCCAGUGGGUGUUUCUAGAAGGACAGGCUUAUUGUGAGAAUUCGGCGCAUCCAGAGGACUGUAUGAGUCCAGAGGGCUUGGUACAGCUGGGGGAGUAUCCUUGCCCAAGUGGGGCAGGGGAAGGUUGAGGUGGGAGUGCAAAAAGGAGGCUGUACGUGACUUCGUGCAGUUGGAGAAAGCACCACGUACUUCACUUCCCAAAUUUUACUGAGGUGGAGACUGAGUCAGAGAGGCUGUGUCUGAGCGCAGGGUCAUGUGCGAGUGACUGCAGAGGCAGAAGUCAAAUCUCGGUCCCUUAACUUGCUGUCCACUCAACUCAUUCCUGCUCGUCGCUUCUUCUCAUUCUCUCAGAAGGUUUACAUGUCGGCGUUUCCGAGUUGUCUUCUCAGACCUUUCUCUGCGGGCUCGUUGCCUGAGAUGAGGUGAUUUUUCAGAAGGAAAUAGGGCACGAAAGUUGUGGUUUGCUGAACUUAACAUCAUCUGAUCUGGAAGAGUCAUGACUGUGGAAGAGGGAGACAUCUGUAAGUGAUGUGUGUGCUUCUGAGAUAAAAACAGAAACUACAAUAACAUCAGGGGAGAAAAAGGACUAUGUUGGAAGAUCCUCUGACUACCUGACAAUUACUGCUGGAAUCCAUGCUCUCUCCCACUGGAGCUGAAAUGUCCUCUAACGAAAUCAUUAUGGCCGUAAAACCUUGGAACUCAUGAAAAUUUAUGAACGGAAAAUAGAGAUGUUGAAGGAAUGACCUGAGGUGGAGACAACAGAGCCUUAGACAAAACUAUAAAUGAUGCAUUAAACUAAGCGCAAUAUGAACUUGAAGUUCCGCCACAUUCCCCACUGAGUUGUGGGCAAAGCCAAUAAACUCCGUCAUAAAUGAGGAUGUAUUUCGGGCACGUGGUUUCCAGCCUGGAGAGGUACAGGUGCUCUCUGUGACUUAGUUACUGCAUGAGACAGAAAUUAGGUCACAGUCAGCUGAUGUGUUCUACCGCUUUCCUUUUUACUUCCACGGAACAUUUUUAUCUGUUUUCUCCUUUUUCAUCUUUCAGAGUAUGCACAGGGAUUUGAAUUCCAAGGUGUCUGGUACUAGAAGGCUGGUGGUAAGAUCGACACAAAGAAUUGAGCUUUGUGCACCGGAAAUCUCACAAUAAACCUCUGUCCUCAUCAUAACAUCACCUGAUCUUUCAAAAGCGUUCCCCACUGAAAUGUGCAGUUAUACGUGGUCAGGAUGGGGAUAGCAUGGCAGACAGUACUCCCUGGAGCUGGCUGCUCAGACUUGUCUAGCCGGAACCUUCCUUUUGUAUCAGCCUCUUGGGGACCACAAUUUCCGUGGAGUUCACUGCCAUGAAAGGAGGCUGUCGUUGCCAAGCCAUGAGACUUUAAAGCAGAUUACUCAGCUAAGCUGCCAUUUUAGGAUUCCGACAUUCAUCUCAUGCUCUGUUACCUGGAGAAAAGGGGAGAAAAGCGAGACAGACGCUCCAUGACAAUAAAGUACGGCAGGCGUUAACGCUGAUGGACAGAAGGAGAGGUUUGGGCUGUGGACUUGCCUGGUGGAGGACAGAUGCCACAACUUUUGGUUGUGCCUUUGCAAAUGGAGAGACAUUGGCUAACUGCUCCCACAGGAGGGGGCUUGAUUACCACCCACUGGCCUCAUUUGGGGGGGGUCACGAUAUAAAAGUGGGUGCUUAGAAGAGUCAGCAGGUCUGAUUAAUAUCCUCGAGGCAGUGCUUAUGAGCCAUUUUUGGCCCAUCGAAUGGCUAAUAAUAAAAUACAGUGGUGCAAUUUGUGUUUUUACUGCAGGCCAAUUAAGAAGGGGGAGAGAGUGGGAAGUAAAGUGACAUGUCCUUGCAAAGCCGAAACAACAGUCAUAGCAGCAGGAGGGGGACAAAGACAGGCGCAAGGGAAGCAGCCAGCCACUUAGAGCAGCUAAAAGGGUCAGGCAUCUCAUGUCUUGUUGCCCACCCCCUGCCAGAAAAUCCCCCUUUCCUGCUGGCUUGUAGGGCACUGGAUAUUUUCAAAGGGGAAUAAUUAUGUGGCAACAUAUGUUCAUCCAGACAGAGAUUGGUGAGUUUCAAACAGAGUGGUAUUUAAAAAAAAAUCGCUGGAAGAGGAAAUGGUGUUUCUCAACAUUCUUAUCGAGUUCUGUAAGGCUUGCAUCCUUGGGUUUUGUGAUUUAGCCUUCCUUCCUUGGUCUAUUUUAAAGCCAGGAGAAAGAAGGCUUAGAACAAACUUUUAUCAUUGUAUUAUUAUUUUCCCCCCAGUGUUCAUUGAGGGUAGGUAUUUGAGUGUGGGUUUAAAACAAUGUGCCCUUUCUGCAGUGCUGGGGUGCACUAAUCACUCUAGGAAAUUCUCUUGGCAUUUCCUGACCAGGCUGCUUCUUAAGGUACUGUUAUUUUCUUUGGCUGCCUGGAGACCAGGAAGGAGAGAGAGAUGGAGGAAGGGAGGAGGAAGUAAGUAAGAGAGGGGGAAGUAUGGAAGGGGAGUGAGGGAA